UGGGGGCUUGGGCUGGGGUCUUCGAGGCCUCGGGCCCCGAGCAGGCUCAGCUGCAGGUGAACCCCUUGCCCGGCCGCACCCCAAACCCACACCACCACCACCACAGACCAAGCUGAGCAGGAAACAAAAUGGAGGCAGCAGCUCGGGUCUGCUUCCCCGAGCCAAGCCUGUACAGCCCCAGGGCUCCCUCCUGCAGCAGGCCCGACGCCCGCGAGGCAAGGAGCUGGCUCGUCCCAGCCACCGCGGGCUGCCGCCCUAGAGCAGCGCAGACAGGCCGGGGAUUCGGCCCUGCAGUCCCCACAGCCCUUCACCCACCACCUCUUCCCCUCCCCCUCCCCCCCAUUCCUCUUCCUCCCCCUGCCCAGCCGCACGGGGUGAACGGCGACCGGGAGCCGGGUCGGGUCGGGUUACCCGCCCGGGCACUGUCCGCCCGGCCGGGGCCUCGGAAUGAGGGAUAAGACCAGACGACCCCCGCCCUGAGCCCACCCCCCCGCACCCAAGCCGAGCGGCAACCUGACUGCGCGCCUGCACCUCGACCUGCCGCCGUGCGGCCCCCCACCCAGGACCACCACUCUGAGCGCCUACUAGCUGCCACUCUACAGCCUUGAGUCAGUCACUUAACAGCCAGCCCCAAGCCUGUUUUCUCACUUGUGGCUUCCAGUGCACAGACCAUCUGUGAGAAUCCUCUAAGGUAAAGGCAAUAUGCUGAGUGCUGGGAAAACAAAGGAUGAGAUGCCCCAAGGAAAAGACAGUUACAUAAAGCUGCUAAAGUAUGAAGAGGGUCUUGGGACAAUACAAUGGUUCCUCCGAGAGCUGACCUCUAGACAUCACUGCACUUAUUGGAAACCUUUCCAACCUCCCAGUCCCCCUUGGAAGAUGAAUGAGUAAGGGUGAAAGAGGGACAGGCAGUUGGGGAUGUACAGGUGACUGACUUGUCUCAGAGAGAAGACUGAAACCCCAGGAAAAAACUCUUGGACUUCCCUGAGGAGACCUCAGGGGGCCUUUCCUGCCUCUUAAGAGUAGAACUUAGCUACAGAGAUCUCACCAACAGCAGUCCCCUUGAGCCUCCGCAUCCAGCAGGCCCUAGCCAAGCACCACAAGUGUGCCAGCAUAUUCUCACAAGGACAUUUAGUCCAAAGUAGGGGAAGAAAGAAUAGGACUCUUCCUUUCCUCUUCAUCUCAGCUCAAGGACCCAUCCUUAAGUCAGAGAUUAGAAUCAAUAAAUUCUUGCUGAAUCUGUACUGGACACCAUGCUGAGCACUUGAAGCACAUUAGUUCUUUUGACCCUUUAGUCGCCCUACAAAGAACUAAGAUCUAAAAGUUUAAGCUCUUCUGCAAAGUCUCAGAGCCUUAACUGUCACCUGGUAUAACUGGCCUCACAUCACUUGCUCUUAGCCAGCAUACCUCCCAGAUACCACCUGUAAGGGCCCAGUACAAUGUCUUGCCCACAGAUGCUCAGGAAUUGGAGUGUCAGGUAAAGUGAGAUUACCUUAGCCUCAGUCUUCUGAUCUGUAAAUUAUGGUUACUGAUAAUUCUUACCCUGAAGAGAUAGAUACCUGUCAAGACCUUUGACCAGUAUACAAUGACCCCUUUUUUUCUUAGAAUUGCCCCCCCUUUCAUUCACUAAUUCAACAAAUAUUUACUGAGCUCCUCCUCACAGCCUUGUGGGGAAGACAGAUAAGUACUAACACGGUAGAGAGCUGAGUACUGAGAGAAGAUGGAGGAGCUGGGGAGGCUUCAGGGGCAGUGAGGGAAGGCCUCCCAUAGAAGUGACAUCUAGGUAGAGUCCUGAAGGAUAUGCAGGAAUAGCCAGGAAAAGAGGUGACAAGGUAAAGUUUUCAAUGGAAGAGUCCAGAGAAACACAGGCCUUGGAACAACUUACUGCAGUUAAGUGUGCUCAGAUGUAUAGAGUCCUGCCUAUGCAGGGCCUUCUUGGUCAAGUUAAAGAAUUUAGGUGUUAUCUUGAGGGCAGUAGGGAGCCAUGGAAAGUUAAGGAACAGGUUAAGGAUCACACCUGUGCAGUAGGAAGUUCACUCUGCCAACAGCGUCCAGAAGAAAUCGAUACUUCCUCUAGAAACACAACCAUGACCAAGGGUCUUGCCUCUGCAAUAUGCUAGGACUAUCUUGUUCCAAUAAUAGUUGUGGCUUCUCUUCUGUGCUCUGUACUUUCCAAGACACCCUCUCAUCUAAUCCUGAGAUUAAAUGAGUAGUAUUGUUAUCCCCAUCUUCCAGAGAGAAAGCAUGCCUUAACUCAGAGCCAAACUCCCAACCCUAACUCCCAGCUCAGGCUCUUCAUACCCAGUGGAGAGAAGCAGCAUCUGCUUUCCAGCUAUCAGCCAAGUUUUGGGAGCAGAAGGGAGGCCUUUGGUAAUUACCAAAUCACCAAAUGCUGCUGGUGAACACCACAACCAUCCCUUCGGAGGGGUCCAGCAAUUAUUUCCUUUCUCUCCCCACCCAGCAAUUUACCAGAAGAAGAUCAGGUUUUCACUUAAGAUCAAGGAAGACUUAGCCAUAUCCAAAGCCAUACCAGCCCUCCAUCAGCUUCCUUCCUACCCAAAUACCAGGCUUCUGUCUGCUAACCUGACAGUGUAGCCCCAGUCCCAAGGACUCAAGUAUCUACCUUCAAGUGUUCUUUCACAUUUUUUUCUCUUGAAAGCCCUGUGUGUGUUGGCUUUUGCCCUUACCACUUUUCCAGCUGUCCAGUGUAUUCACCAUGCCAGCAAAGGCCACAUUCCAUCCUGUGCUCAUUUUGUUUCCUCUGCCUUUUUUUCCUGUCAGGCAAACUCCGACUCAUCCUUCAGGGCCCAGUUUGGAAGACUCCUCCUGAAAGUCUUCCCUGAUCCUACCCUGACAGGCAGUCAUCUUUCCCUGAAAGAGCCCCUAUAGUAAGCAUUAGCUUCCAAAUCUGGUCCCAGCCAUUCGGUGAACCUCUUACCACAGGCUUAUGUCCCUCCCCCCAUCUCCAAGCUUGUGUCUCCAUCAGACAGAAGAAUUGUGGUUUGAAUUAUACACCAAAUGGGUUGUGCAAAACUUAAACUCUCCCUUAAAGGAUUCAGGGAUGCUUGGGGAACACACAGGCCCCUGUGCCAUACAAUGCUUUCAGAAAGUAUAAAAGAAUCUAUAGGAUCUGAAGUCAGAUAGAUGUGGAUUCUGACAGCAGCUAGCUACUUACCAGGCCAAGUGCCUCUCCUUCCCUGAGCCACACAAAAGGGAUGGUUAUACAGGUUAAUAUGUGACUGUAGACAGGGCCAGGCACCAGGCCCUCCACACAGCAACUGUUCCCUGGGUGCCUCCUUCAGGGUGCCACCAGGCUCCUCAAACCAACAUGUCAGUCUUCCUCCCAUGCCCCAUAUCUGCUUCUUCUCUUGGUGUAUGAUAUUGU